CUCAUUUCAUAGGCAUUUCAGUGAACCUUCUGCUCCCUUUGCCUUUCCUUCCUCUACUCCUCCAGGCCGGAUAUAUGGCAGUAUUCCUUCCCCCAAAGGCUCUAGCUCCAUGAAGAAGCUCAGCUCUGCCAAACACAGAGAGAGCAGUGUAAGCCAGGAGAGGCCGAAGAAGAUGGAUGCUUUUCUUCUUCAUCUCAAACUUAAAAACUCUGGAGAUGUUUUUUACUCAAACCCGGAAGGUUUACCCAGCGUGGACAAUUUCAGUAAAAAUCAUUUACUUCAGAGACAGUGACUCUAUCACUCCCUGGGCAGCCUGUGCCAGCGCCUCACCACUCUUCCUGAGAAGAAAUGUUUCCUAAUAUCCACUCUUCAUCCACAGUCUCAAGAUCGCCUUCACUACAUUCUGCAAAUCUUCAAGGACAAUUCUACUACAAUUACUACUAAGUCUCACGCUGCGCACCCUUUCACUACCCC
ensembl:lncRNA